rnacentral:rRNA from 1 species
UGGUGCCGCAGGGAAGCCGUGAAGCGAGCCACCUGGGAAGUACGGUCGCAAGGCUGAAGCUUAAAGGAAUUGGCGGGGGAGCACUACAACGGGUGGAGCCUGCGGUUUAAUUGGACUCAACGCCGGAAAACUCACCGGGGGCGACAGCAAUAUGUAGGUCAAGCUAAAGACUUUACCAGAAUCGCUGAGAGGAGGUGCAUGGCCGUCGUCAGUUCGUACUGUGAAGCAUCCUGUUAAGUCAGGCAACGAGCGAGACCCGUGCCCGCUGUUGUCAGCAUAUCCUUUGGGAUGAUGGGUACUCUGUGGGGACCGCCGAUGCUAAAUCGGAGGAAGGUGCGGGCUACGGUAGGUCAGUAUGCCCCGAAUCUCCCGGGCUACACGCGGGCUACAAUGACUGGGACAAUGGGCUCCUACCCCGAGAGGGGAUGGUAAUCUCAUAAACCCAGCCGUAGUUCGGAUCGAGGGCUGUAACCCGCCCUCGUGAAGCUGGAAUCCGUAGUAAUCGCGUUUCAACAUAGCGCGGUGAAUACGUCCCUGCUCCUUGCACACACCGCCCGUCAAACCACCCGAGUGAGGUAUGGGUGAGGGCAUGGACAAUGUGCUGUGUUCGAACCUAAAUUUUGCAAGGGGGGUU